AAUAACUGAGGGAAACUGGAGCUAAUACCGUAUACGCCCUUCGGGGGAAAGAUUUAUCGGAGUUGGAUGAGCCCGCGUUGGAUUAGCUAGUUGGUGGGGUAAUGGCCUACCAAGGCGACGAUCCAUAGCUGGUCUGAGAGGAUGAUCAGCCACAUUGGGACUGAGACACGGCCCAAACUCCUACGGGAGGCAGCAGUGGGGAAUAUUGGACAAUGGGCGAAAGCCUGAUCCAGCCAUGCCGCGUGAGUGAUGAAGGCCUUAGGGUUGUAAAGCUCUUUCACCGGGGAAGAUAAUGACGGUACCCGGAGAAGAAGCCCCGGCUAACUUCGUGCCAGCAC
rnacentral:rRNA from 1 species